ensembl:lncRNA
GUAGUGAGUGGGGUUAUUGAGGGUUAUUUGGGGUUAGGUAGUGAGGGAUUGUGGGGCUAGGUAUUGAGGGUUAUUUGGGGUUAGGUAGUGAGGGUUCAUGGGGCUAGGUAUUGAGGGUUAUUUGGGGUUAGGUAGUGAGGGUUCGUGGGGCUAGGUAUUGAGGGUUAUUCGGGGUUAGGUAGUGAGGAUUCGUGGGGCUAGGUAUUGAGGGUUAUUUGGGGUGCUGGUGGUGAAUCAGGCGUCGGCCUCAUCUGAAACCGUCUCCAGCUAGCUGCUAAAACAUCCAACAUCAUUUAUGCAAAUGUAAUUAGGCUCUGGGAAGGCGAUCGCAGCGUCGCCGCGCCAACGGAGAUCCAUCAUCACAACACGGCCUCUAAACAUUCAAUUAAAGUCUUGGAUUUCACCAGAUUUAAUCUGACCGUAAUAAAUUAGCCAGCGAGGGAGAGACGCCCUCCAGGCUGGCACCGGCCAGGGGACGAACCCGACCCCCCCCACACACACACACAUCCCCGAACCCUACCCCCCACCCCAGCGACCCAACAUGUCCGUUGUGGAGCCAGGGAGACGGCGUUGGCUGCUCUGGUGACGGGAGGAGCUAGAGGAGGAUUUAGUCUGUGUCCAAACAAGAAGCCAUUGGCGAAC